AGUGAACGCUGGCGGCGUGGAUUAGGCAUGCAAGUCGAACGAUACCGCAAGGUAUAGUGGCAAAAGGGCGAGUAACACGUGAGCAAUCUACCAUCGUGUGGGGAACAACCUUGGGAAACCGAGGCUAAAACCGCAUAAGACCACGGCCUGGCAUCAGGCUGUGAUCAAAUGGGGGGACCGCAAGGCCUCUAGCAUGAUGAUGAGCUCGCGUCCUAUCAGCUUGUUGGCGGGGUAAUGGCCCACCAAGGCUUUUGACGGGUAGCUGGACUGAGAGGUUGGUCAGCCGCAUUGGGACUGAGACACUGCCCAGACUCCUACGGGAGCUG
rnacentral:rRNA from 1 species